rnacentral:rRNA from 1 species
GCAUCUGUGCAUGCAGCAUAUCAAUAAGCGGAGGAAAAGAAACUAACAAGGAUUCCCUUAGUAACGGCGAGUGAAGCGGGAAGAGCUCAAAUUUGAAAUCUUCAAGGUUUUACCUUGACGAAUUGUAGUUUAAAGAAGUGUUUUCUGUUGAAGUUUUGGUAAAAGUUCUUUGGAAUAGGACAUCAUAGAGGGUGAGAAUCCCGUAUUUGACCAUUAUUUUCAGCUGUGUGAUACACUUUCAAAGAGUCGGAUUGUUUGGGAAUGCAGUCCAAAAUGGGUGGUAAAUUUCAUCUAAAGCUAAAUAUUGGCGAGAGACCGAUAGCGAACAAGUACCGUGAGGGAAAGAUGAAAAGAACUUUGAAAAGAGAGUUAAACAGUACGUGAAAUUGUCAAAAGGGAAGCGUUUGACACCAGUGUUGUUUUCUCGAAAAUCAAUUAAAAAGAGUUAGAUUUUGUUGUGUAUUGACCUUAACAGCUUGCAUUUCAAUUUUCUUGCUUUUUUUAAUGCACUUUUCGUUUAACAAGUCAACAUCAGUUUCUUUUGUUGUAAAAAGGUCAUUGGAAGGUGGCUUUCUUUUCGGAGAAAGUGUUUAUAGCCUUUGACUCCUGCAAUCGGAGAGACUGAGGUCUGCAGCGUAGAUCCUUCGGGGUUAGAUACAUUUGUGCUAAGUUAUAGCUUUUUAUAGACAACUUGUUGACUAUGAUUAGUCUUGUAGCUUACUCGCUUAUGCUAUUUUACCUACGCUUAGGAUGUUGAUGUGAUACUGCGAGCA